rnacentral:ncRNA from 1 species
ACGCGACAAUGGCACACCCCGGAAAACCGGGGGCCGCAAAGCCUCUCGAGCCUGCCUCGAGGGUUCCGGCGAUGGCCGGGACACGGGACUACCUCCGCCUACAAAUGGCGGACACGUCGGCUGGGCUGCCGAA